AAGGCAACGUUAGUUCUUAAGGCAAUCGGACGUAUUCGAUGCCUGGUUUUCUAGACGGGCAAGGAGAAAUAUUGAAUACUUGCCUCCUGUUGCUCAUAAAGGAAGUGCCAGUCUAUUGAGUUGAGUUGCUUCUGUACUUCCUCCCAGGUGUGUUCCUGGUUGGGAUGGCUCCCUGGGAAGUUAACCGACUUAUAUUGCUGUCCCAUGCCUUGCUGAGGGAGGACACUCAACAUCUGAAGAGUCACACCAUUUGGUUGCUUUGAUAUUUGAUUUCUUAUGUGGCAAUCAGUCUGGUAUGGAAAGAACUGAGUCCAGGAACUCAUGUCACUGAGUCUACUAUACUGAGACUUCUUACAGCUCAGAAAACUCACCAUUUGCACAGCCUUUCCCCUAACAUAUGAAGUCUGCUCAAGCUUCAAGCUUCAAGGAUGUGCUGACAAACCAUAGAAUCACAGAACCAUUAUGGUUAGAAAAGACUACUAAGAUCAUCUGGACCAGUCAUUCACCUACCACUAAUAUUACCCACUAAGCCAUGUCCCUAAGUACUGCAUCUAGCCUUUCCUUAAACACAUCCAGGAACCGUGACUCCACCACUUCCCUGGGCAGUUUGUUCCAAUGCAUCACCAUUCUCUGAGAAGAAAAUUUUCCUAAUAUCCAACCUGAACCUCCCCUGGCGCAACUUGAGGCCAUUCCCCUUGUCACUAGUUUCCUGGGAGAAGAGACUGACCCUUACCUUGCCACAGCAAGUUGCUAGCAACUGCCUUUUCUCUCCCUGAGCUGCAAAAUGCCAUAACUGUAUUACAGAACUGUAUGCUUAUAAAAUAAAUUGCUAUAAAACUAUUAUUAUAUCUGCCCAAGUGAAUAAAGCAUUUGAAUAUGAAUGAUGAGCUGUUCACAAUUCAUCAUUUAUGAGAUUCUAACAUGCAUUUCAUUGUUACAUGAAGCUUUCUGAUACUUCAAGGAGAUCCCCAUAUUCCUCAGCCUGAAGAGUGUAUUCAAGUAAAAUAAAGCUGAGGUGAGAAGCACCUUUAUGUCCAUGAGGGCACUUCAGUCUCCAGGGCCACAGUACUUCUACCCUUCAGAAAAUCCCAUUCGAUGGGAGUAAGAGAAGUACAGGAAGGGAUGGACAGGGGACCAUUUCUGCAAGCUGUGAGGCGUAUUUAGAACUGGGAGACAAAAUGCAGGAAAGAAUCACCAGUCUUUGAAUAUUUGUGUUUCACAGACUGAAAUCCCCUGUGUUUCAUCCACUGGGAAUAAGACUAAAGUUAGAAAAAUGAUUAAGGGACAGUAUUAGCCCCCUCCCUGACACAGAUUUUGCUUUUGAUAGGACUGAUUCAUUCUGUUCUUUCUUAUCUAGUAGUCUCUCUAGAAUAACCUUGUCCCUUGUCAUUACUAAAAUUCAAAAUACAAUUCAGUUAUAAAUAUUGCUAUUAAUUUCAAAAUCUCUAGGGAUAUACACUGAUGCCUAAUUCCUAUUAUACCUUACAAACAUGUCUUACACAAUCAGAUUGCAAAAAUGUAUUUAUAUAUUCCUCAGUUCUGAUUAAUAAGUAUAUCAGCAAAAAAUAAAGUUCAGACCAGAUCAGUUUCUUGCAAGUUUACCUUUCUUUUCAACUUUUUGGCUGACUGAAAAUAUGAUUUAUGUUAAUUACUCAUCACAAAAGCUUUCUCCAUGAGCAGGGAGUAGGGAGUCUGCCUCUGCCCUUGCACUUCUAUGUGCUUAGGAGUAAGACACUUCAUCUUCUGUUCUCCUAUUUCCCAUCUCUGAAAUGGCAUCAAUAAAUGCUACAUCCUCCAUAAAGAAUAUUUGCUUCCACUGGUGCAAAGCAGUUGUACUGAAGCAAGGUGUUCUUACAAACUCAGAAUGCAGUAGUCUGCCCCACUUCCCUUACUGCUUCUCCCAAACUAAGAAAGUAGCUUAAAUUUUUUAAGAUUUAAGCAAUAAUAACAGGCAUAGGAUUUUUCUUCUUUCUUUUUGGACAUUUGUGUCUCUUGUGUCUUAUGUCAAGUUUUUAUUCAUGACAGCUAGUUAAAGACCUAGUUACUGACUGCCCCUGGCAGGAGGCAUUACUAGAUAUGGAACUUGCCAAGAGGAAACUAAUGAACAAGAUGGUUUCUUCACCCCACUUCUUAAUCAGAUAUUGAGAAUGAAGUUAAAUUUCACAAUGGUGUAUGAAGUUAAACAGACUAGACUCCAGAUGGACUGCUGACUUGACACAUACCUGAUUUGGUUUCAUAACAAUUAUUGUCAGAUCAGAUUGGUCUCAUAAAGUAUGUGCAUAUGACAUUUUUCUUCUGUGCCUGCUUUAAGGUUAGUGUCUGCUUGGGACAUUUAUAGAUGAGAUUAUGAUUUCAUCAGUAUACUAUUUCAAAAAGUACUUAAGCUGGUUUAUGAAAGUAUUCCAUUAAAGGUAAAGUCAAACAGAAUGCAUUGCAGGGUGUAAUCUGUGCUAUGAAAUAUGUUUUCUGUACUUUGUAACGUACUUGGCUUCACAAUACGUGCAGUUUCUGGGAAACUGAGUUGUAUCUCUAUGUUAAUCCAAUGUGAGUUGCCACAGUUAAUACACAGAUUAACAUAGAAACACAGUACUGUAAUGCUCUUUUAAAUAAAUCAGUGUGUUUAUG
ensembl:lncRNA